GAUGAACGCUGGCGGCGUGCCUAAUGCAUGCAAGUCGAGCGAACAGACGAGGAGCUUGCUCCUCUGACGUUAGCGGCGGACGGGUGAGUAACACGUGGAUAACCUACCUAUAAGACUGGGAUAACUUCGGGAAACCGGAGCUAAUACCGGAUAACAUGUUGAACCGCAUGGUUUAACAGUGAAAGACGGUCUUGCUGUCACUUAUAGAUGGAUCCGCGCCGCAUUAGCUAGUUGGUAAGGUAACGGCUUACCAAGGCAACGAUGCGUAGCCGACCUGAGAGGGUGAUCGGCCACACUGGAACUGAGACACGGUCCAGACUCCUACGGGAGGCAGCAGUAGGGAAUCUUCCGCAAUGGGCGAAAGCCUGACGGAGCAACGCCGCGUGAGUGAAGAAGGUCUUCGGAUCGUAAAACUCUGUUAUUAGGGAAGAACAAAUGUGUAAGUAACUAUGCACGUCUUGACGGUACCUAAUCAGAAAGCCACGGCUAACUACGUG
rnacentral:rRNA from 1 species